rnacentral:rRNA from 1 species
AUUGAACGCUGGCGGCAGGCCUAACACAUGCAAGUCGAGCGGAGCGGCGGACGGGUGAGUAAUGCCUAGGAAUCUGCCCGGUAGUGGGGGAUAAAGUCCGGAAAAGGGCGCUAAUACCGCAUACUAUCAGAUGAGCCUAGGUCGGAUUAGCUAGGUGGUGGGGUAAGGGCCUACCAAGGAGACGAUCCGUAACUGGCCUGAGAGGAUGAUCAGUCACACUGGAACUGAGAAACGGCCCAGACUCCUACGGGAGGCAGCAGUGGGGAAUAUUGGGCAAUGGGCGAAAGCCUGAUCCAGCCAUGCCGCGUGUGUGAAGAAGGUCUUCGGAUUGUAAAGCACUGUAAGUAGGGAGGCGUUACCAACAGAAUAAGCACCGGCUAACUACGUGCCAGCAGCCGCGGUAAUUC